rnacentral:ncRNA from 14 species
UACUUGGCCGAGUGGUUAAGGCGAUAGACUUGAAAUCUAUUUGGUUUUCCAUCACAGGUUCAAAUCCUGUAGUAUG